GGUUUUGUGGGGUAGUGGUAACCCGGCGUAUGAUUCUGUCUAGAAACCGCAAAGGUUGGUUUGAUUCCAACCAAGGCCA